rnacentral:rRNA from 1 species
AGUGAACGCUGGCGGUAGGCCUAACACAUGCAAGUCGAACGGCAGCACAGUAAGAGCUUGCUCUUACGGGUGGCGAGUGGCGGACGGGUGAGGAAUACAUCGGAAUCUACUUUUUCGUGGGGGAUAACGUAGGGAAACUUACGCUAAUACCGCAUACGACCUACGGGUGAAAGCAGGGGAUCUUCGGACCUUGCGCGAUUGAAUGAGCCGAUGUCGGAUUAGCUAGUUGGCGGGGUAAAGGCCCACCAAGGCGACGAUCCGUAGCUGGUCUGAGAGGAUGAUCAGCCACACUGGAACUGCGACACGGUCCAGACUCCUACGGGAGGCAGCAGUGGGGAAUAUUGGACGAUGGGCGCAAGCCUGAUCCAGCCAUACCGCGUGGGUGAAGAAGGCCUUCGGGUUGUAAAGCCCUUUUGUUGGGAAAGAAAAGCAGCAGGUUAAUACCCCGCUGUUCUGACGGUACCCAAAGAAUAAGCACCGGCUAACUUCGUG